rnacentral:rRNA from 1 species
GACGAACGCUGGCGGCGUGCUUAACACAUGCAAGUCGAACGGAAAGGCCCUGCUUUUGUGGGGUGCUCGAGUGGCGAACGGGUGAGUAACACGUGAGUAACCUGCCCUUGACUUUGGGAUAACUUCAGGAAACUGGGGCUAAUACCGGAUAGGAGCUCCUGCUGCAUGGUGGGGGUUGGAAAGUUUCGGCGGUUGGGGAUGGACUCGCGGCUUAUCAGCUUGUUGGUGGGGGAGUGGCUUACCAAGGCUUUGACGGGUAGCCGGCCUGAGAGGGUGACCGGCCACAUUGGGACUGAGAUACGGACCAGACUCCUACGGGAGGCAGCAGUGGGGAAUAUUGUACAAUGGGCGGAAGCCUGAUGCAGCAACGCCGCGUGCGGGAUGACGGCCUUCGGGUUGUAAACCGCUUUCGCCUGUGACGAAGCGUGAGUGACGGUAAUGGGUAAAGAAGCACCGGCUAACUACGUG